CGAAAGGCAGCAACACAGCGCAGACACAAGAGGGGCAAAACACACCCAGGCAGCCCAAGCAGAAAGCGGAAAAUAAAGCCUAACCCGGCUGAGAUUGCUACACCACCACCACGAACCGGCAGCAGCCAGCGUCUACUCCGACCCACACAAAUCUCAACCGGGAAGCUUCACAGCUCUCCAGGCGAACCUGCACCCAGCACUGAAGCCUCCCUGCUGCACCGAGACGCCGCAAGGACCCCUCAAGGCAUCGGCUGACGACCUCGACGGCAGGACAGACAUGCAGACAUUGGGACAGUAACCCCCUUAAGGGAGAUGUACCACACGCAAAAUGGCUGACCCAUCACACACGCUCCUGUUACCCUGCAGCUGUAGCGAGCCUCACCCACUCAUACCCAAC